rnacentral:lncRNA from 1 species
GCAGUCUCCAACCCAGACCGCCAGACUCCACCCGCCUUAGGGCACAGCUGCUCCGAGCCCACCUGGUGAGAAGCCCCUGGGGUGGAGGGAAGGACUCUCCUUAACUCUUCUGUCACUUUUCUGGUCCCCAUCCCUUCCUUACAGACCCUGGUGGCUGACAUCCCGACCCAUUCCCUUCUCAGGUGCAAGUUGCAGGCACUCUUCAAUUUCCCAGACCCCUUUCCCCUGGAUAUUGAAUUCUAGUCCCCUCAAGAGUAUUGUGUGCCAGCCCUUAACCUCCUUCCCCUUCAAGAUUCAGGGGUCCAGGCCACUAUCCCUUCUUCUCCUUCAAAGACCCAGGGGUCGUGGUUCCCAGUGCCCUCCUCCCUAGGACCCAGGUCCUCCCUCUACCAAGAUCUAGGAGUCAGGGCUCCCAGCCCCUCCUCCCUCAGACCUAGGAGUUAGGGCCCCAGCCCCUCCUCCCUCAGACUCAGGAGUCCAGGCCCCAGCCCUCCUCCCUCUGACCUAUGUGUCUGGGGCCCCAGCCCUUUCCACAUCCAGAAGUUAGGGUUACAGGCUGCUUCUAUCCCUAACUCCCUCAGAGCUUUUCAUAAGUCUACCCACAGGGUCAGCUUCCUGACCUCCACUUUAACCCUGCUCUCUCUCCAGUCCAGGUCCCCAUCCCAGCCUUGGAAAUGACCCUGGCAGCUUCCUCCCAGCGCUCCCAAAUCAUCCGCUCCAAGUUCCGAUCUGGUGAGAGGCCGUUUGGGAAGUGGUCCUGGGCUUCUGGAAACGGGUCUACUCUGGGGUGGGAGAAGGUAGGAGGACCCGUGAGGCAUGUAUUUUCUGUGCAAAAGGUCACUCAGCAUAAAGGUGUCCAGCAAAGGGGUCGAAUUGAGGUAGGCCACUAAGUGUGCAAAUGGCUAGGUCAGCAAAGAGGAGUGGGCAGCUAGGGGUGGGUGUGCAGAUCAGGCACUGCAAAGAACAAGGCUUCAUCUGAAAUGUAUGUUCAGCAGACAUGCGCACACAAUGGGGACUUUGGAGGACAGGGUGGGAGUUUGGUGAGGGGACAAUGAGCUAUCGAGCCUUGAAAGUGUCAAAAGUUGUGUUUUAGAUUCCAGGGUAAGUGCAAGAUAUGCAAUGCGCAGAACUGGGGGUCAAUUCCUGAGUAGGCAAAGGGCACCCAAGUGCAAGGGAGUGUGGUUACAUGGUUGGGUGUACAAAGACACUAAUAACGGAAGAGCAAAAAUGUGCAAAAAGACACACAUGUGCAAAGAGCAGAAUUGUGCAAUGGGACAGCCUUGCUCCAAAAUUAGUGGCCAUGUCCUUAGGGUGCAAAUAAGAAUGUCAAUGUGGCUGGGUGGGUGCCAAGGCAGAGUGAGCCAAGGAUGAAGUGUGUAGGUUACAAAUACACGGAAGUGGCAUAUGUAGAUCUAGAGCCCAGAGAUGCGUUUCAAGGGUUGGUGUGCAGACUACGGGAUGACUGUGGGAAGGGCAAAAGGGGAGCACAGAAAGAAGUUGGCGCUGCAGAGUGGGGUUCAUGGAUAAAAGGAGGUGAGGUGCAAACGGGCCGGGCUGCCAAGAUGGCGAUUUUCCUGGGGGUGGCGUGGGCACUGACUCGUGAGGGGCAGGUGGAGCUGGGGUGGGGCUGCCUACUGCCUGCAGGCUGGCUGGCUCCUAGCCCUAGAGCAGCUCUGGCCCGAGGCACUGCGCUGGCAGGGAGCAGGCGGGAGGCCCGGGAAAGGGAGCGGGCUGCCUGCCCACCCGCCUGCAGGGGUGUGUAAGGGGGCUGGGCACUUGUGUCCUGCCAACAACUGCAACUCCCACCCGCCUGCCAAGCCAGGCUCCUGGACACUCCCUUCCCGCCUUCCUCCUCCCACCUCCCUCCUCCUUCCACAGUCCUCCAGCUUCGGAUCCACAGACGGAAUCAGGACCCCAGUAAGUGUGGGCCCUGAGUGGGAGGGGAUGGUGGCCCCAUUUCCCUGGGACAUCCUGGAGUACAGCUAUGCAAGGUCCCUCACUGGUUCCUGUAGCUUGGUUCCUAUACCCCACCCAGGAUACACUGAAAUUCCAUCCUGUCCUUUCCCAAGGAUCCAGGAAUCCAGGUCCUUGGUCAUCCCACCCCUGGGAGCUCUGCUUCCUGCUCUCCAGUUUUCCCACCCCAACAGAUGCAUGAUUCCAGAUGCUCUUUGGAGGAGACAGGCUUCCCAGACUCCACUCCACAUUCCGUUCACAUAGGAAUGUCAGACUGUGGCUCUCAGCUUCUCCGUCUCCCCAAGAACCAGGAGUGCAGGCCCCCACCCCUGUCCCAGCAAAACCCCAGACAUCUGUGAUCCUCAACUAACACACCCCUUGGUGACAGAGCUUGCUGCCUUCUUGAGAAUGUGAAAAUCUGGGCCCCUAGAUCCAGGAGUCCAGGCAUCCAGCUGCCAGGGCUUGUCCUCCCACACCCCAGGGAGGCUGGGUCCUCCUUUCCCACAGCUUUGCUCCUCCUUGCUGGCUAAAUGCCUCCAGGCCACUCAGGUCUUUCACUGUCUCUCCAGCCUCAGAUUCAGAUCCGUGGAUCUCAGCCUCCGGCCCAGCUCUGGCCCCAGCUUUGCCCUUGGUCCCUGCCUCUUUCCUCUUCAGCCCUGGCGUCUUGCUCCCUGAGACGGAAUAUUGUCCUUGGAGGUCCCCAAAGAAGGUGAGUCUUGACUAGAGUGAGAGGAAGUCCCUCUGAGUCUAGCCUUGGUCCUCCUUGCCACUGCCCCAUCUGCUCCUCUUUGGUGACUGCCAACCCCACUGUGCAGUGGGCUCUGGGGCAGGAAGGCAGGAACUGAGCUGAAGCAUGGGACAUCACACUUGCUGUUUUAGGAGUCUUCCAAGACCUCCCAACGCUGGAGCGAAUCCAAGCCCAGGGGAAACUUAACAUACCACCAGUACAUGCCCCCGGAGCCGAGACAAGGGUCCAGGGCAGACCCCCAAGUUGAGAGGUCAGCCCUGGGUCCCCAGGGGCCACCUCUGUGGGAAGGGACAAACUCACAGCAGCUACAUUCUAGGUAUGACCCUCAUUUCUCUUCUCUGGGGACCCAGAAAUUCACAUCCCAUCAUCCUGCCUCAAAUCCACUGCUCAUGACAGGGUCCAGUCCGGAGCCCCUCCUUCCCCAGGACCCAACUCUCCAGCUCCCAGUCCUUCUCCUUUCAGACUCACACCCCCAGUUCCUCCUCUCCCACGAACAGAAAUCUAGCCCCAUGGUCUUGCUUCCUCAGAGAUCCAGAAUUCUGGGCUGUCACUUUCCUACAUUUUCUAGAGCCCCUGUUUAUGAGGACCUUAAUAUGCCUUUUCUCUCUCUGUCCCUUCUAAACUGUUCCUCCCUCACGACCAUCGCCAGAAUGAAGCCCACUCCCCUCACUCCCUUCCAACCAGGAGUCCCCAGCCCUUCUCCCCCUCCACACAAGUUGGAACUUCAGACCCUUAAACUGGAGGAGCUGACGGUGAGUUUGGGGGACAACUUUCCAGGUGUGUCCUUUCUUUUGGUGGGAUUAACCGCAGCCUCUGCCCCAAGGAAAUCCAGGAGUCUGGGUCCCCAGUUUCAUCUUUUGGAGGGUUCCAGAUCUUUCCUAUCUCGUUUCCCAAAUGUCCUCCCCAUUCCCGGCCUGCUGCCCAAGCACGCCCAGCACCCACUCUACCCGCCCCCUCCCCAGGUCUCAGAGCUCCGGCAGCAGCUGCGCCUGCGGGGCCUCCCGGUGUCCGGGACCAAGUCGAUGCUCCUGGAGCGCAUGCGCGGCGGUGCCCCGCCCCGCGAGCGGCAAAAGCCGCGGCGGGAGGACGGCGCGGCGGGUGCUCCCUGGCCACGCCUCAGGCCCAAGGCCCUGGGAACCUCCCGGCGGCAGGGCACGGUGAGGGCGGCACUAUGAGAGUGUGGGCCAAUGACGAGAAGACAAAACAGAUGGGGCGGAGGGUCGAAAACUCAGGAACCAAUGAAGUUGUGGGGAGAUGCUUGGCCCAGCAGAGAAAGCCCGGCGCAAGGGGGCGUGGCUAAGAGCAACUGGGGGAAGAAUCUUCAGUGAGGAGGAGCCAAUGAAAGGGCAGGGGGCGAGGCCAAAGGCGUGGUCCAGGAGUGAAGGGCCGGACCUGGGGGUGGAGCCACGGAUUGCGGGGGGGCUACGCGUGGUGGGCGUGGCUUAGGGAACUACCUCUUCGUGGUUGUAGACCAAGUCGAAUCCCGCGUCUCACAAGCCACCUCCUCCACGAGCGGCCGAGAGCCUAGUGGCCGCUCCGGCUCCGCCUCCGCCGCCGCCGCCGCCGCCUCCCCCUCCUCCUCCUCCGCCGCCGCCUCCGGCCACAGCCCUAACAGCUUCCUCAGCGCCCCUGACGCUGGAGGAGGAGCUGCAGGAAGCCAUCCGGAGGGCGCAGGUGAGAGGGUGCCGGAUCAAGUGGGUCUGGGAUGGUGGGUCUCCGCUCAGGUUCUGGGUGGGAUGCCAGAUUCACGCCGCGUCUGUUCGUCCACAGCUGCUUCCGAAUCGGGGCAUUGAUGACAUCCUGGAGGACCAGAUGGAGCCUGAUGGUAAGAGCCUAACUCCUGAGUUUGGGGGAGAAGGGGCCUGAGGUUCUGCACUCCUGGGUCCGAGGAAAGAAUGGGCUGAGGAACAGAACCAGAUCCAUGACUUCCUAAGCUCACACUCCAUUCCUUCCCCCGCAGACCCGCUGCCCCCCAUUCCUCUGGAUUUUCCUGGCUCCUUCGACGUGCUGUCCCCCUCCCCGGACUCUGAAGGCCUCUCAUCUGUCUUCUCCUCGUCACUCCCAACCCCCACGAACUCCCCAUCCACCUCUCCCAGAGGCCCCACGGAUUCCUUGGACUGGUUAGAGGCCCUGAGUGGGGGUCCUCCACUGGGCUCUGGCCCUCCAGCCCCCAGCAUCUUCUCUGCUGACUUAUCUGACUCCAGUGGCACCCGGCUCUGGGACCUGCUGGAGGAUCCGUGGUGAUGGGUUCUGGAGUUUUACAGGGACCCAGAACUGGUGGGGGUGAAGAUGGCAAAGAGACUCCGGGAAGGGAAAUGGAACAACUAGUAGAGCCCCUCCCACCACAGACACCCAAUCCCAAUCUGGCCCCUAACUGCUGCUGACAUGCCGAAUGCCUGGACUUUGCCUUCCUACGGGCCUUACCCCCUCUAUGGUUGUGUGGUUGGGGAUGGAGGUUCAUUUGCUGCUGCCCAAGGCAAACAAGCUGCUUUCUGCUUCCUUUUGAGACCUCAUGGAUGUUCUUAAUGCCCG